rnacentral:rRNA from 1 species
UACGUAGGGGGCGAGCGUUGUCCGAAGUUACUGGGCGUAAAGCGCGCGUAGGCGGCUCUUUAAGUCUGAGGUGAAAGGUUCAGCGCUCAACGUGAACAGUGCCUUGGAUACUGGGAGCUUGAGUUCGGGAGAGGGUAGUGGAAUUCCUGGUGUAGCGGUGAAAUGCGUAGAUAUGCGGAGGAACACCGAUGGCGAAGGCAAUCCCCUGGGCCUGCACUGACGCUCAUGCACGAAAGCGUGGGGAGCAAACAGG